rnacentral:rRNA from 1 species
UAGGUUAACGAGGCGAACCGGGGGAACUGAAACAUCUAAGUACCCCGAGGAAAAGAAAUCAACCGAGAUUCCCCCAGUAGCGGCGAGCGAACGGGGAGCAGCCCAGAGUCUGAAUCAGCUUGUGUGUUAGUGGAACGGUCUGGAAAGUCCGACGGUACAGGGUGAUAGUCCCGUACACCAAAAUGCACAGGUUGUGAACUCGAAGAGUAGGGCGGGACACGUGGUAUCCUGUCUGAAUAUGGGGGGACCAUCCUCCAAGGCUAAAUACUCCUGACUGACCGAUAGUGAACCAGUACCGUGAGGGAAAGGCGAAAAGAACCCCGGCGAGGGGAGUGAAAAAGAACCUGAAACCGUGUACGUACAAGCAGUGGGAGCACCUUCGGGUGUGACUGCGUACCUUUUGUAUAAUGGGUCAGCGACUUAUAUUCUGUAGCAAGGUUAACCGUAUAGGGGAGCCGCAGGGAAACCGAGUCUUAACUGGGCGUUAAGUUGCAGGGUAUAGACCCGAAACCCGGUGAUCUAGCCAUGGGCAGGUUGAAGGUUGGGUAACACUAACUGGAGGACCGAACCGACUAAUGUUGAAAAAUUAGCGGAUGACUUGUGGCUGGGGGUGAAAGGCCAAUCAAACCGGGAGAUAGCUGGUUCUCCCCGAAAGCUAUUUAGGUAGCGCCUCGUGAACUCAUCUUCGGGGGUAGAGCACUGUUUCGGCUAGGGGGUCAUCCCGACUUACCAACCCGAUGCAAACUACGAAUACCGAAGAAUGUUAUCACGGGAGACACACGGCGGGUGCUAACGUCCGUCGUGAAGAGGGAAACAACCCAGACCGCCAGCUAAGGUCCCAAAGUCACAGUUAAGUGGGAAACGAUGUGGGAAGGCACAGACAGCCAGGAUGUUGGCUUAGAAGCAGCCAUCAUUUAAAGAAAGCGUAAUAGCUCACUGGUCGAGUCGGCCUGCGCGGAAGAUGUAACGGGGCUAAACUGUGCACCGAAGCUGCGGCAGCGACACUAUGUGUUGUUGGGUAGGGGAGCGUUCUGUAAGCCUGCGAAGGUGGCCUGUGAGGGUUGCUGGAGGUAUCAGAAGUGCGAAUGCUGACAUAAGUAACGAUAAUGCGGGUGAAAAGCCCGCACGCCGGAAGACCAAGGGUUCCUGUCCAACGUUAAUCGGGGCAGGGUGAGUCGACCCCUAAGGCGAGGCCGAAAGGCGUAGUCGAUGGGAAACAGGUUAAUAUUCCUGUACUUGGUGUUACUGCGAAGGGGGGACGGAGAAGGCUAUGUUAGCCGGGCGACGGUUGUCCCGGUUUAAGCAUGUAGGCGGAGGUUC